ACUCCUACGGGAGGCAGCAGUGGGGAAUUGUUCGCAAUGGGCGCAAGCCUGACGACGCAACGCCGCGUGGAGGAUGAAGAUCUUCGGGUCGUAAACUCCUGUCGAGCGGGACGAACACCUAUCCGGCUAACRUCCGGAGAGGCUGACGGUACCGCUAAAGGAAGCCCCGGCUAACUCCGUGCCAGCAGCCGCGGUAAUACGGGGGGGGCAAGCGUUGUUCGGAAUUACUGGRCGUAAAGGGCUCGUAGGCGGCCAACUAAGUCGGACGUGAAAUCCCCAGGCUCAACCUGGGAACUGCGUCCGAUACUGGAUGGCUUGAAUCCGGGAGAGGGAUGCAGAAUUCCAGGUGUAGCGGUGAAAUGCGUAGAUAUCUGGAGGAAUACCGGUGGCGAAGGYGGCAUCCUGGACCGGCAUUGACGCUGAGGAGCGAAAGCCAGGGGAGCAAACGGGAUUAGAUACCCCGGUAGUCCUGGCCCUAAACGAUGAAUGCUYGGUGUAACGGGUAUCGAUCCCUGUUGUGCCGAAGCUAACGCAU
rnacentral:rRNA from 1 species